rnacentral:lncRNA from 10 species
CAUCACCAACUAAGGCCUCGGUGGAACAGGCAAAGUGGGACCUGUAAGAGGUAAUUGGCCAUGAGGGCUCCUCCCUAGUGAAUGGGAUUAGAUGCCCUCAUGAGAGGGCUCGACUGAGGGAUUUUAUCCUGCUUGCCCUUCUGCAUUUUGCCAUGUGAGGACACAAUGUUUCUCCCCUCUGAAGGAUGCAGCAAUAAGGUGCCAUCUUGGAAGCAGAGAGCAACCCUCACCAGACAACCAAAUCUGCUAGUGCCUUGAUCAUGGACUUCCCAGCCUCCAGAACUGUGGUAAAAUAAAUUUCUGUUCUUUAUACAUUCCUCAGUCUGUAGUAUUCUGUUAUAGAAGCAUAAAUGGAGUAAGGCAUGCUCUUAAGAUCAUUUGCUAGUACAUCAUUAAAUGAAUACAAUGCACUCGACAUAAGCAUUCAACUUCUGUACAUGUAUGAUACAGCUUACCCUCUGCUGUUAUUAAUAAUCUGCAAUAAAUUUC